rnacentral:rRNA from 1 species
GAUGAACGCUGGCGGCAUGCCUAAUACAUGCAAGUCGAACGAGAGGAAGGAAAGCUUGCUUUUCUGAAUCUAGUGGCGAACGGGUGAGUAACAUGUAGGUAACCUGCCCAUGUGCCCGGGAUAACUUCUGGAAACGGAUGCUAAAACCGGAUAGGUAGGAGACAAGCAUUUGACUGCUAUUAAAGUGGGUAAGGCCAUGCACAUGGACUGACCUGCGGUGCAUUAGCUAGGUGGUGAGGUACCGGCCCACCAAGGCGACGAUGCAUAGCCGGCCUGAGAGGGCGGACGGCCACAUUGGGACUGAGACACGGCCCAGACUCCUACGGGAGGCAGCAAUAGGGAAUUUUCGUCAAUGGGGGGAACCCUGAACGAGCAAUGCCGCGUGAGUGAGGAAGGUCUUCGGAUCGUAAAGCUCUGUUGUAAGAGAAAAACGACAUUCAUAGGGAAUGAUGAGUGAGUGAUGGUAUCUUACCAGAAAGUCACGGCUAACUACGUGCCAGCCGCCGCGGUAA